UGAAUCUGUAUAACGGUUGAAUGCUCGGAUUUAAUUCUGGUUGUUAUGAUUCAUUGUUGUUGAAUAGGAAGAUCUGAUGC